CUACGGGAGGCAGCAGUGGGGAAUAUUGCACAAUGGGGGGAACCCUGAUGCAGCCAUGCCGCGUGAAUGAAGAAGGCCUUCGGGUUGUAAAGUUCUUUCGGUGAUGAGGAAGGUGUUUUGUUUAAUAGACAAAGCAAUUGACGUUAGUCACAGAAGAAGCACCGGCUAACUCCGUGCCAGCAGCCGCGGUAAUACGGAGGGUGCGAGCGUUAAUCGGAAUAACUGGGCGUAAAGGGCACGCAGGCGGAUUGUUAAGUGAGAUGUGAAAGCCCCGAGCUUAACUUGGGAAUUGCAUUUCAGACUGGCUAUCUAGAGUAUUUUAGGGAGGGGUAGAAUUCCACGUGUAGCGGUGAAAUGCGUAGAGAUGUGGAGGAAUACCGAAGGCGAAGGCAGCCCCUUGGGAAUAUACUGACGCUCAUGUGCGAAAGCGUGGGGAGCAAACAGGAUUAGAUACCCUGGUAGUCC
rnacentral:rRNA from 1 species